CUUGAGUGCAGUUGAGGCAGGCGGAAUUCGUGGUGUAGCGGUGAAAUGCUUAGAUAUCACGAAGAACUCCGAUUGCGAAGGCAGCCUGCUAAGCUGCAACUGACAUUGAGGCUCGAAAGUGUGGGUAUCAAACAGGAUUAGAUACCCUGGUAGUCCACACGGUAAACGAUGAAUACUCGCUGUUUGCGAUAUACGGCAAGCGGCCAAGCGAAAGCGUUAAGUAUUCCACCUGGGGAGUACGCCGGCAACGGUGAAACUCAAAGGAAUUGACGGGGGCCCGCACAAGCGGAGGAACAUGUGGUUUAAUUCGAUGAUACGCGAGGAACCUUACCCGGGCUUAAAUUGCAGACGAAUUACGAGGAAACUUGUAAGCCGCAAGGCGUCUGUGAAGGUGCUGCAUGGUUGUCGUCAGCUCGUGCCGUGAGGUGUCGGCUUAAGUGCCAUAACGAGCGCAACCCUUGUUGUCAGUUACUAACAGGUUCCGCUGAGGACUCUGACAAGACUGCCAUCGUAAGAUGUGAGGAAGGUGGGGAUGACGUCAAAUCAGCACGGCCCUUACGUCCGGGGCUACACACGUGUUACAAUGGGAGGUACAGAAGGCUGCUACCCGGCAACGGGAUGCCAAUCCCCAAAACCUCUCUCAGUUCGGACUGGAGUCUGCAACCCGACUCCACGAAGCUGGAUUCGCUAGUAAUCGCGCAUCAGCCAUGGCGCGGUGAAUACGUUCCCGGGCCUUGUACACACCGCCCGUCAAGCCAUGAAAGCCGGGGGUACCUGAAGUGCGUAACCGCAAGGAGCGCCCUAGGGUAAAACCGGUAAUUGGGGCUAAGUCGUAACAAGGUAGCCGUACCGGAAGGUGCGGCUG
rnacentral:rRNA from 1 species